UAAACGACUCUCGGCAACGGAUAUCUCGGCUCUCGCAUCGAUGAAGAACGCAGCGAAAUGCGAUACUUGGUGUGAAUUGCAGGAUCCCGCGAACCAUCGAGUCUUUGAACGCAAGUUGCGCCCGAAGCCUUCUGGCCGAGGGCACGUCUGCCUGGGUGUCACUC
rnacentral:rRNA from 7 species